rnacentral:tRNA from 1 species
GAGUGUAUAGUUCAGUGGCAGAGCAUGUGCUUAGCGUGCACAAUUGAACCCAGCGUUGUCCUGGGUUCAAUGCCCAGUACCGCCA